GAUGAACGCUGGCGGCGUGCCUAAUACAUGCAAGUCGAGCGAACAGACGAGGAUCUUGCUCCUCUGACGUUAGCGGCGGACGGGUGAGUAACACGUGGAUAACCUACCUGUAUUACUGGUAUAACUACGGGAAACCGGAGCUAAUAGCGGAUGAUAUAUUGAAGCGCAUGGUUCAAUAGUGAGAGUCGGUUUUUCUGGCACUUCUAGAUGGAUCCGCGCCGCAUUGGCUGGUUGUGAAGGUAACGGGUUACCAAGGCAACGAUGCGUAACCGAACUGAGGGGGUGAUCGGCCACCCUGGAACUGAGACACGGUCCAUGCUCCUACGGUAGGCAGCAGUAGGGAACCUUCCGCAAUGGGCGAAAGCAUGACGGAACAAGGGCGCGUGAGAGGUGAAGGCCUUCGGAUCGUAAAACUCUGUUAUUAGGGAAGAACAAAUGUGUCAGUAGCUAUGCACGUAUUGACGGUACCUAAUCAGAAAGCAACGGCUAACUACGUG
rnacentral:rRNA from 1 species